rnacentral:rRNA from 1 species
UACGAAGGGGGCUAGCGUUGCUCGGAAUUACUGGGCGUAAAGCGCACGUAGGCGGCUUUGUAAGUUAGAGGUGAAAGCCCGGGGCUCAACUCCGGAACUGCCUUUAAAACUGCAUCGCUUGAAUCCAGGAGAGGUGAGUGGAAUUCCGAGUGUAGAGGUGAAAUUCGUAGAUAUUCGGAAGAACACCAGUGGCGAAGGCGGCUCACUGGACUGGUAUUGACGCUGAGGUGCGAGAGCGUGGGGAGCAAACAGG